UGUCUGCUCUUGGCUUGAUGUUCUUUCUCCAAGUGAUCCUUAAGAAACCAUUUUGGUUUAGAGCCUGUGUUUGCUUUGGUUUGCCUCCUAUAGGAGCAUGUGUUGAAGACACUGUCCUCAGUAUGGUGACAUCUUUAAGAGGUAGGACCUAGUGGAAGGCAGGCAGGUCACUGGAGUGCUGCCCCAGAAGGGAUUAAUGCUCUGUCUGAUUAGGUGCUCUUAAAAAGCAAGAUAUCCUAGAACAUCAAGCCUGGCCACCAAAUGGGUCACUGACUUCCUGUCUCAUUCCAUAAACUCUUGUUCACACUCAUUUCCACCAUAGUGGAAUCUACCAAGCCAUGCUGCCAGGAGCAACUAGGAAAAGACUAGAUGGAGAUGCUGCUCCAUCUUUUACUUUCAGAGUCUACAACUGCAAGCUAAAUAAACCUCCUUGCUUUAUAAAAUACCUCUUGAGCAUGUUGUUAGAACAGAAAAUGAACUCAUCUACUAAUAGGCCACUGUCAAAAUGAAUGCCAUGUUUGUUAUAGGUCUUUAGCAGUUUUCAAGACUCUUGGAAGGAAAGAACAGUGUGAAUUACAGAUAUAAUUUAAUAAAUUAUAGCAUUGGAUAUGAGAAGAGGAAUAAGUUUGGUAACAGAAUGAUGGCAUAGCAUUUACUAUAUAUGUGGGUUUUUAGGUGCCAAGCAUCUGUAACAACAUGUAAAAGAUGAAUAAAAGCAGUGCUCUAACUUACUUACUAGAGUGUAUGGGCCUUGCUUUGUUUCAGCAAUGAUUCACUGGGCACUGGUUUUUAUUUUGGAAGUAUGUGGAGUACUUGGGACACAAGAAAAAAAGCAAAUUUUCCAUUUUUAAGGUUCUGAGAGGCACAGUUGGGGUUCUAGAAAUUAGAAGAAGACUUAGAUUUUCUUCUCUGUGCAGUGCCAGUGCUGAGAGUGGACAGACGGCCUACCAGAUUUAAAAAAUGUAUUCUACUGUAGGUGCUAACUUAUUAAUAAAUGUUAGGUAUAAAAUAUAUUAUGACUUAUUAUAAACAUAAGCUGAAAAUUGCUGAAGGUUAUUAGCCUCCUUUAUUGAAUCCUUAUGCUCACUGACUCCUUGUCUGCCCCUGAGCCUCUGCAAGUACCUUCUCUGUCUUUUACUGUAUUGACUAUUUUAGCAACUUCACAUACAUGGAAUCAUGCAGUGUUUAUCCUUUAGUGGUGUCUUAACUUAUUUUUUAAUGAAGUAAAAAAGGAAAUCUCAAGAAUGGAAGAAUACUUGGCAACCACAUAUCUAAUAAGGUUGAUGUCUAAGUUAUAGAGGAACUCUACAACUAAAGAGAAAUAAAUAAGUAGAUAUUCAACCUGGGAGGUGAUGGUGCAGGCCUUUAAUCUCAGCACUCAGGAGGCAAAAGCUGGUGGAUCUCUUUCUCUUUCUCUGAAUUUGAGGCCAGCCUGGUCUACAGAAUGAGUUCCAGGACAAGCAGGACUACACAAAGAACCCUUUC
rnacentral:lncRNA from 1 species